rnacentral:rRNA from 1 species
ACCUACGGGGCGCAGCAGUAGGGAAUCUUCCACAAUGGGCGAAAGCCUGAUGGAGCAACGCCGCGUGGGUGAAGAAGGUCUUCGGAUCGUAAAACCCUGUUGUUAGAGAAGAAAGUGCGUGAGAGUAACUGUUCACGUUUCGACGGUAUCUAACCAGAAAGCCACGGCUAACUACGUGCCAGCAGCCGCGGUAAUACGUAGGUGGCAAGCGUUAUCCGGAUUUAUUGGGCGUAAAGGGAACGCAGGCGGUCUUUUAAGUCUGAUGUGAAAGCCUUCGGCUUAACCGGAGUAGGGAAUUGGAAACG